GACGAACGCUGGCGGCGUGCUUAACACAUGCAAGUCGAACGGUAAGGCCCUUCGGGGUACACGAGUGGCGAACGGGUGAGUAACACGUGGGUGAUCUGCCCUGCACUUCGGGAUAAGCCUGGGAAACUGGGUCUAAUACCGGAUAGGACUCCUGGCUUCAUGGUUGGGGGUGGAAAGCUUUUGCGGUGUGGGAUGGGCCCGCGGCCUAUGAGCUUGUUGGUGGGGUAAUGGCCUACCAAGGCGAAGACGGGUAGCCGGCCUGGGAGGGUGCCCGGUCACACUGGGACUGAGGUACGGCCCAGACUCCUACGGGAGGCAGCAGUGGGGAAUAUUGCACAAUGGGCGCAAGCCUGAUGCAGCGACGCCGCGUGAGGGAUGACGGCCUUCGGGUUGUAAACCUCUUUCAGUAGGGACGAAGCGCAAGUGACGGUACCUACAGAAGAAGGACCGGCCAACUACGUGCCAGCCGCCGCCGUAA
rnacentral:rRNA from 1 species